rnacentral:lncRNA from 1 species
UUUUUCUUUGAACUGGUAUCAAUUUUCUCUAUACACAUAUUGAACUUUGUACGUGUUUUUUUUAUGCAUUGAUGAUAUAAUACAUGUUGAACUGCUACACCAUAGCUAAAAAAUCUAUCCAUGUGAACAAUUAUUUUACAUUGAACUUUCAUCAAUCAACAUACAUCAUUUUCCUUUCUGUUCACACACUUACAACAAACAUUACAUAACACAUGCACAGCUCCACGAUCAUACACACUUCUCUCCUGUAGCUUCUCCUCGCAAUUGGAGAGAAAUCACAAAUGAUUUUAGAUACGAAAAACACCUCCACAUGCUACCUUUAACAAACAAUCAAUUGGAGAGAAAAGCACAUGUGAUUUUACAUACAUAAAUCACCUCCACAUCCACCAGCUAGACUUGAUGUUUGUUUUCUUCUACUUCCAUGGUCAUGCAUAAGUUCAUACAACUGUUGAGCAAAAGCUCUUUGCCAUGAAGUUAAAAACAAGCAAGAAAAGCUACACAUCACAGGUUUCCUUCCCCUGCAAAGUUUCAAAUUUACUUCAUCUCCACAUUUUUUUGGACUGAACGUGCCACAAUUUUUGACCUGUCCAGGUGUUGCAAGCAAAGUUCCUGGAAAGUAAACUUUAGAUUUGUCAUCUCCCCGUUUUGAAAAAAGAUUUGUCAUCUCCACACUUUUUUCUGAACUAUACUAGCCACAUAAUUUACAUAAACUUUUUUCACAUGCGAAUAUGAACAACAACAAAAAAUCAUUUGAGCAACUCACAAGCACAAAAUACAAUGGAAUUCUUUCCACACAUUUGAGACGACGUCUUCAUUUUUAGCAGAUGAGAUAGUAGUACAGGUGUUUAGGUUCAGUUUAAAAAAGAAGAGAAAGAUGGAAACAUAGUAGUUAUAAUUCUUGUAGGCAUUUCAACAAACAGUGGAGGGUCACCCAGGGGAAGAAGGAAUUGGGAUCAUGCAGCAACCUGGACUGUUGUGUGUGCUCGACUUGGACGGGCAGCACGUGGUAAAGAUGGUGACCACGAUUCUACUUGGACUGUUGUCCGCGCUCCACUUCGACGGCUGCCAGUAACCAUGGUGGAUGAGCUCGUGGUCGAGGGCGGCCAAGGCGACCACCGGGGACUGUAGGUGGUCAAGCUUGUUCUUGCUAGCGAACUCACAACGAGGCAACGGUGAAUGGCCUCGGCUGGCGGUGUUGGACUGUGGACGCAACGGUGCCAGACCACUCACCGGGACGAGGCGGAGUGGUGGCGGGGAGCAUCGCCGAGGGCAGCCAGAAGGUUGCACCUUUAUUCAUGUUUUCAGUUCAAAGUUUAAGAAAUAACUGAACCAAAUGAUCUUGAGCUGAUGAAAAGGAUGCAUCUUGACUUGAUGUAAAUUAGCACCAUAUAAUAUAACACUAUUUUUUCAUAUGAGGCAAGACAACUAAUAUUGAGAGAAUACACUGAGCAUCAUGUUUAAUUCUCAGGUCAGUGGUCAAAUACUUAUGGCAAGUAUAUUUGAACUGAUGUAUCCUUUUUCUAGUUACGGAAUUGCUAACCACCCCAAAUAAACUCCUAACUAGUUAUGGCAAGUAUUUUUUGAACUGAUGUAUAUUAUUUCUAGUUAAUAAGUUGCUAUACCACAGGACUGCAUCCUUAGAAGUGAAACACCAACAUCAUUGGUUGUGUAAAAACACUCAAAAGAAUUGCUUGCUGUACUGUAUUUUAUAGUACAAAUUGUACUGAACUUCACUAAUUUUUGCAUUGGAAUUUAAUACAUCAUACAUACACGUUAAGUAAUGCAAACAUAGCAAACUCAAUUUCUAUAGUCUCUAAAAUAUAGGAAACCCAAAAUUUUCUAACGAGUGCACUUGCCUGGAGUUACCCACUGAACUUCUUGACUGACAUUGGUUCUCCGGUUUUUAUUUACACAACCAACUCCCUUUUUUUUAUAAGUGAACUGAUGGAAAACUUGACGGUGCACUUAUGUAUUUUGUUCAAGAUGAACGGAGGGAGCAAAAAACCUACAAAGGUGUACGCAUAUAUAGCAAAUCCUAUAAAACACAUUUGGUUUGCUUCAUGUAGAUCAGCAAUGAAGUGAGAUCGAGAGAAAAAGGAAGGUUGGGGUGCUGACCAUUAGUGUCGGCGGAAGAAUUGCAAGCAGAGCCGGGGAGCAGAAUCAGAGGAGCGGCGGCGCGUCGGGUCCCUGGGCGGCGGCGGGUUAUAUAGUUGAACUUGCAUGAUCUGCAAAUAAGAACAUGAGUUAUGUACUUACUAGACAAAACCAUGUGAAAUGGUAUGAGAAGAAAUCUCUAGAUGAAAAAGAACAGAGCAUCAGAAGAUUCAUCAAAUUCAUACCAAAAAUGCCGGAUCAGGGGGCCGAGCACGGGGUGGCUUGCACGCGACUCUUUUCUUGAGUGACCGGCGGCGGAGCAAGAAGUUGGACUGAUGAGCUGCAGAUCUUACAGUUCUAGCCCCAGCGACCACAUUGGCAGCUGCACGAACGACGCCAAAUGAACGGGCUUUGGUGGUGGUGAUGAAUGGCCUGGUGACUGAAUUUGAACGGACUGUGAGGUUAGGCGGCAGAGGGCGACGCUGGAGCGACAAUGGCGACGUGUGGUGGAUUGGGGAGGCGCGGAGGAACGCGGCCGGCAGUGACGCGCAGCGGCCAGGUUGCCGGCGGCUGCGUGCUUUGGUCUCAGGGAGGAGCAAGGAUGACUUGCGCGAGGGCCUGCAGGCGUUGCGUGGGAGGCGGGCUGGACAUCGAUGGGGUCGUGGAGGAGAUGGGGACGAGGUGGCAGCUGGACCUAGUAGACACGGGGAUGGGGCGGUGGCCGGAGCCGGGGAGACGGGAGGGGGGCGGCGGCCGGAGCCGGGGGAGAUGGGAGCGAGGAGACGGCCUGAGCUGGGGGAGACGGGAGCGAGGCGACGGCCUGAGCCAGGGGAGAUGGGAGCGGGGAGAUAGCCGGAGCCAGGGGAGAUGGGAGCGGGGCAGCGGUCGGAGCCAGGGAGACGGGAGCGAGGGCAGCGGCCGGAGCCGGGAGUGGGGGCAGCGGCCGGAGCCGGUGGGAUGGGAGUG